rnacentral:rRNA from 1 species
GUACGGGAGGCAGCAGUAAGGAAUAUUGCGCAAUGGGCGAAGGCCUGACGCAGCGACGCCGCGUGGGGGAUGAAGGUCUUCGGAUUGUAAACCCCUUUCGGGAGGGAAGAUGGAGCGAGCAAUCGUUCGGACGGUACCUCCAGAAGCAGCCACGGCUAACUUCGUGCCAGCAGCCGCGGUAAUACGAAGGUGGCAAGCGUUGUUCGGAUUUACUGGGCGUACAGGGAGCGUAGGCGGUUCGGUAAGCCCUUUGUGAAAUCUCCAGGCUUAACCUGGAAAAGUCGGAGGGGACUGCCGGGCUAGAGGGCGGGAGAGGAGCGCGGAAUUCCCGGUGUAGCGGUGAAAUGCGUAGAGAUCGGGAGGAAGGCCGGUGGCGAAGGCGGCGCUCUGGAACGUUUCUGACGCUGAGGCUCGAAAGCGUGGGGAGCAAACAGGAUUAGAAACCCGUGUAGUCCU